AUUUAGGUUUUCAUUAAUGGCCCAAUGAAGAAAAAGAUAGACAAAAGAAAAAAAAAAAAAAAAAGGAAAAAGAUGCCCAUCUCCUCCUCGACCGCUUACAAAAAUCUCUCUCCCACACCACACUGUUGCCAUCGUAUGACUUCCCUAACUCUCUCUCUCUCUCUCUGCCUCCCUCCCUCCCUCCCUCAAGAUCUCUCCCAGGUUUUGGCAUGAGAUCAUUUCUGUCUCACUCUCUGCGAUUGUAUUUUCUUCUGGGUGUUCUUGUUUCUGAUGGCUCUCACUUGGUCAUAUGCUUUUGCUUCUCGUUUCUCUGAUUUCCUGGAGCUAUGUUUUUUUGUCAGGGUUCGGGCCGAUUUAGAUCUACAGGGAGGUGUGGCUUUUUUGUCCAGAAAAUUUUGAGUUUCUACUUCUUUUCCCUGAUUUUCGCUUGGUUUGGCCAGAAGAUGAGCCCAGAAAAGUUCCAAAAGAGUCCCUUUCUUCCCCCACUGAUUUUAUAGCUUUUCUUUUGGGUCAAUCCGGGGUAGUUCUUACUCCUGGAUGCUGUUUAUUGAUUUUAUGUUGCUUUCUCUUGAUUUUUUAAAUAUAUAGUACGAUGAUCUACUGUUUUAUAUAAAUAUAUAUAGAUGAUAUAGGGUUCAAGAUGGCAGAUUCUAACUUUGGGGUGCUCUUUUACGUAAGACCCUUUUCCACAGUUUCUUCAGUGUUGGUCAAAGCCAAUAGGCUAACGUGUGUUCCUUUUUCUUUCUUUUGACCCCCUUCUGUUUUCGAGAUUAUCCGGGAUAUAUAGACAUAUCGAAUUCUUCUCGGUCUCUCUUAUGUUUCUUACAAAUCCAGAUAUUGCAACAAGCAUGGAAUGAUGAUAUGUGGGUUAGCACGCCUUUACAGUCGUCGUUUGCAGGUGUAGCAUCAUCAAGAUUCACAUGCGAAAAUGGACGGCGAUGAUUGGAUCGCCUUUUGCCGAAAGUCCAUCGGAGUUUGAGAAUCUUGAUGAUGCUGCAUCAGCAAUAAACGACUCUACACUACAAUCUCGAUGUCCCUCUUCUUUGUGUUUUUCUGUUGCCUUCAGGUGGGUUUAGAUUAAAUUUGUUUUCCCUGAGGUCUACGUAUUAAAAGAUGCCUACAGACUUCCCUUUGCGCUUUUCGAAAGAAGUAUGAGAUUCAGAUCGAAGCUGAUUAAAGAUACCGAGAAUACUGACUGCCUCCAAAGCUUUGUGCGUUUUCUAAUUGCGCAGAUCUACAGUUGUGUUUCCUCCGAUGAAAUAUGCGAAACCUAUUUUAUGUCAGAAAUUGCUUAUGUAUCACAAGUUGCAAGAAGGCAUAACAUUUGGAUGUUGCAGAAGCUGGGAACUGGUGAGAUUCGCCUGCAUGAAAUAUGUUCAUCAUGCUCAGGAAAGGGUAAAUUCCCUUCAAUCUUGCAGAUUUCUACUUUGUUACCAAUUACUUUCUCUGGCACGUUUGGCCAGUACAUAAGAAUUGCUUCUUUUGGUAAUUUGUCUGUUGGUAAAAAAUACACAGAGGUUGUUUGCUUCUCCUCAGUUUGUUUGGCUCAAUAGCAUCUGAAGAUGAGCGCGAUGCGUUUGUUGAGCACGAAGGCCAACAAAAGAAUGGUCGCCGUCAUUUGUGUCUUUUGUGAUCUUCAUCAUCAGAUUUUAGAUAGUCUUAGCUUGUAUAAAACAUCGAUUUUGGUUCAAAUUUCAUGAAACAAUGACAGAAUAUCUAAUUAGGAUCAAAUGUGUUUACAAUGUUCAUACACAAGUUAACAAAAAUCAUAAUGCUUUUCAUAAAUUUUCAGCGAGUUUCCUGUCGAACUCAAUUGAAUCACAUCUCUUUAAAUCUAACAAGUUGACCAUGAUGUGUUCAUCACCUGAAAGUACUCUAACUUUCCUACCACUUCUGUCUUGACUUAGAUAUGGAUGAAACUGUGUGAUCAUUUAUUUGAUUAUCCGUCAAACUAUGUCUUCUCAGCAAAAUCAUGGCCAGCAAAGAUGUGAGUGAGAACUCCGGAAAUGGUUUUCGUGUCUCAGAAAUUAGUUGCAUCUUUGAAAUCAGGAACUGGUUUUUUCCUUGUGACCCUGAUGCGCCAAUCAAGGGGCUAUGGAGAAGGGAUGGAAUAUUGCGUAGGCAAGAUAUAUCGGUCAAAUGCGGCUUUGCCUAAUCAAGAAACGAGAAGAUAGAGGGACACUGCGUUUGCAAGUGUUGGAAUGCAUUGCAUAAUAAAGACAUUUUGGUUGUAAAUUUUUUUUUUUUUAAACUUCACAAAGUCCAUCUUUCCGGUGUGCCUUAUAGCAUUCCAAGUAAGUCAUCAUCUGUUUGAAUUUUUUUCUAAUUUAAUUUUAAACCAUGGGUACGAGCCUAGAGGCCCAACUACCUGAAUACCCAUAAAACACCCUGUAAGUCCCAUGAAAUAUCGAUUAGAAUGGAACUUUGUGUUGAAUGCUAUCAAUCUUUGUAGGUUGGAUAUACAUUUCAAGAAUGGACGUCCGUAGUUUUGCAAACACUAGCGAAGAUUAUCUCUCUGGAAGUUCUUCUUCCAAAAUAUCAAGCAUAGUUUCCCAACAUUCCUAGGGCGGUGUAAAGACACAUUAUUCUUUGUUUGUGUUCUGUCCUUUCAAAGAUAAGCCGGGCGGGCUUUGCCGAGAUCGAGCUGAAGAGUCAUGAUCCUUUAGUUGCUUUCCCCUUCAUACUCACCCGUUUUCCGUGUGUUACUGAACGUGAAGUGUUCGUGCUUCUCUUUUAACUUUGAUUGACAAGUAAUGAUAGUAAUACUUCAAAAGAUUUUCUGUUCUUAGUUUAUCCGAUUUCAUGGCCAUUGCUUUUGGAUGCUUUUCCUAUUGUUCGGAAGACUUCAUUGAUGAACUUAAUUUCCAACUGCUGCAAAAUUCAUAAGGAUCUCCAGUCAAAUCUCUGUGUGCGUUAGACAGCUUUUGCAGCAGACAGAAAACUCAUGACUUGUCUGAAGAACUCAGCUAGUAGAGAUGUCCAUAAGACAGGUUGUGACUUGAGAGACAUAGUCGGAUGUCCGUGUAUAAAUGUAAACCCUACAUGAAAUGAGAAUUCUUUUUAUGACUCU